GUUGUUCUCAUCCUAACCUCUGUGGACACCAUCUUUUAAAAGGCCUUCCUUUUGGGCAUGCCAUCAGAUUUUAUUAAGAGAGAAAAAGUGAGUUGGGGCAUGUGCUCGGGUGUGGGCAACUUCAUCUAGCAUGGAGAAAUCCUAGGGCUUCUAGGUUGGGUGUUGGGAUCAUAAGGGAAGAAAAAAAGUGUUCUCUAGUUCCUACUCAUCCACUUCAUCUUCCUCCACUUCUCUUUUUUCUCUAGAGUGUC
rnacentral:lncRNA from 1 species